rnacentral:misc_RNA from 1 species
GCUAGAUUCGGACCCUUGCUUGUUGCCGGUGCUAUCUGGGGACGAAUUUCAGCACACAAGAUGUAUGGACAAGACCCGGUGCUGCAGAUAGAAUCAGCGGGACGUGAAACCAGUAUCGGAGCAUUCAUCGGAGUUAUCGUGGGUACUACAACGUUUACACUGGUAUAGACGGCUUCGGAACCUUGCUAUGAUGCCAUGGCGAAAUUGUGGACAUUGAAAACACGCAAUUUGUGCCGGUGAACUCUUCAUGAACCUCAACAAGAGGCAUUUGAGGAUUUGGAGGCAAAACUAUAGCUGGUGCCACACGACAUUAACACCAAAAGUACCUGACCCCACCCAAACGUCCAACUUAAUUGGCGUCGAUCUCUCGUGGGGAGUUAUGAAUGGGACCAUGGAAUGGCAAGGGUUACACCAGUAGAACGUGUCUUAUAAUAAAAAGAAGUAAUU